rnacentral:rRNA from 1 species
AUGGACAGUGCCGCCUCCGUCGCGGGAGCGCCCCCGGCGGUGCCGCCCGCGGUGCUGUGCGCCGCCGAGGAGGCCCUGGCUGCCACCGAGUCCGUGGGGGACCACCUCGCCGAGAUGCUCGCCGCGGCGGCCGAGGACCCCGACGCCAUAGCCGAGCUCCCGCCCCUGCAACGGGCGCGCGCCUUCCUCGCCGUAGCCCACGCCGCGACCUCCCUCUUCUCAGUGCGGCUGCGGUGUUCGGGGAUAAAUCCGGACGAGCACCCUAUCAAGAAGGAGUUCGAGAGGUUAAGCCUGUGGCAGGAGAAGUUAAAUCGAUUGAACGAAUGGGACAAGGGAACCAUACACAUGGCCAUGCAUACGACUUACGAGGAGAUGCAUGCAGCAAGACCUGGACACCGCCGCGCAUAUCCACAUGUCUACUUCGAUCCACGACAAGGGAGCGGUGCCCACGGCCAGAUGUCGGCUUCCACAAGACGAGACCAGCUACACCAAGCAGACUCCGCGUGA